CAGUAGCCGCGGAAUACAGAGGGUGCGAGCGUUAAUCGGAUUUACUGGGCGUAAAGCGUGCGUAGGCGGCUUCUUAAGUCGGAUGUGAAAUCCCUGAGCUUAACUUAGGAAUUGCAUUCGAUACUGGGAAGCUAGAGUAUGGGAGAGGAUGGUAGAAUUCCAGGUGUAGCGGUGAAAUGCGUAGAGAUCUGGAGGAAUACCGAUGGCGAAGGCAGCCAUCUGGCCUAAUACUGACGCUGAGGUACGAAAGCAUGGGGAGCAAACAGGAUUAGAUACCCGCGUAGUCCCUGUCUCUUAUACC
rnacentral:rRNA from 1 species